AAAGUGGUGUCACUGCCCGUGAUAUCAAGGAACUUGUGAUUUAUGCCAUAACUAACAUAACCUCGACAUAUCACAGUUUACUUGCUGUCGCAGGCAGGUGUUACUGA
rnacentral:pre_miRNA from 13 species